rnacentral:tRNA from 1 species
AUAUAUUUUAUAUUUAUAUAUAAUAUAUAAGGGGCGGAUGUAGCCAAGUGGAUCAAGGCAGUGGAUUGUGAAUCCACCAUGC